rnacentral:lncRNA from 1 species
GUAGAUCUUAUCCCUAUUCGACUUGGGGAAUUUGAUGUUAUCUUGGGAAUGGACUGCUUAUUCAAUUAAGGGGCUGUAAUUGAUUGCCAAAAGAAGCGUAUUAACCUUAUGACUCCGUCAAAUGUUGUGUUUUAUGGUAGCAAGUCGCCUAGACAAGCGAGUUGUCUGACGAUGAUGCAUGCCAGGAAGUUGUUAAGACAG